rnacentral:misc_RNA from 1 species
UUUCCGUAGGUGAACCUGCGGAAGGAUCAUUAUAGAUUUUCAAGGGCUCGUCCCUCCUGGAUGCCCGGCGCUCGCGUCGUGGCUCCUUGUACAACAAACACCUGUGAACAACCCGGACGUGGUCCCUAGGGACCGUGGCCACCUUUUACACCUGUCGUCCUAUGUCUAGAAAGUAUAAACAAAAGAGUACAACUCUCAACGAUGGAUCUCUUGGCUCUCGCAUCGAUGAAGAACGCAGC